rnacentral:rRNA from 1 species
GUGGAUUAGAUACCCUGGUAGUCCAUGCCGUAAACGAUGUCUACUAGCCGUUGGGGUCUUUGAGACUUUAGUGGCGCAGCUAACGCGAUAAGUAGACCGCCUGGGGAGUACGGUCGCAAGACUAAAACUCAAAUGAAUUGACGGGGGCCCGCACAAGCGGUGGAGCAUGUGGUUUAAUUCGAUGCAACGCGAAGAACCUUACCUGGUCUUGACAUACAGAGAACUUUCCAGAGAUGGAUUGGUGCCUUCGGGAACUCUGAUACAGGUGCUGCACGGUUGUCGUCAGCU